GCAUAUGAAUUUCAGACUCCAGUUCUCGGUUGACAAAAGCUUGCACUCUGAGAUUUCCCUGGACAGGAUAUUUCUCUCCCUGGCUUCCUCAUCAGUGGGCAUAUUCGAAGUACAGGAUCUGGAAGAAUUCAUCAGCUCUGUUCUCCAAGAUGUAUACGCGCC